AGCGAACGCUGGCGGCAGGCUUAACACAUGCAAGUCGAGCGGGCAUCUUCGGAUGUCAGCGGCAGACGGGUGAGUAACACGUGGGAACGUACCCUUCGGUUCGGAACAACUCUGGGAAACUGGAGCUAAUACCGGAUACGCCCUUAUGGGGAAAGGUUUACUGCCGAAGGAUCGGCCCACGUCUGAUUAGCUAGUUGGUGGGGUAACGGCCUACCAAGGCGACGAUCAGUAGCUGGUCUGAGAGGAUGAUCAGCCACACUGGGACUGAGACACGGCCCAGACUCCUACGGGAGGCAGCAGUGGGGAAUAUUGGAUAAUGGGCGCAAGCCUGAUCCAGCCAUGCCGCGUGAGUGAUGAAGGCCUUAGGGUUGUAAAGCUCUUUUGUCCGGGACGAUAAUGACGGUACCGGAAGAAUAAGCCCCGGCUAACUUCGUG
rnacentral:rRNA from 1 species